GAUGAACGCUGGCGGCGUGCCUAAUACAUGCAAGUCGAGCGAACGGACCAGAAGCUUGCUUCUCUGUUGUUAGCGGCGGACGGGUGAGUAACACGUGGAUAACCUACCUUUAAGACUGGGAUAACUUCGAGAAACCGUUGCUAAUACCGGAUAAUAUUUUGAACCGCAUGGUUCAACAGUGAAAGACGGUCUUGCUUUUCCUUAUAGAUUGAUCCGCGCUGCAUUAGCUAGUUGGUGAGGUAACGGCUUACCAAGGCAACGAUGCAUAGCCGACCUGAGAGGGUGAUCGGCCACACUGGAACUGAGACACGGCCCAGACUCCUACGGGAGGCAGCAGUAGGGAAUCUUCCGCAAUGGGCGAAAGCCUGACGGAGCAACGCCGCGUGAGUGAUGAAGGUCUUCGGAUCGUAAAGCUCUGUUAUUAGGGAAGAACAUAUGACGAAGUAACUGGGGAUAUCGUGACGGUACCUAAUGAGAAAGCCACGGCUAACUACGUG
rnacentral:rRNA from 1 species